UUCCUACGGGAGGCAGCAGUGGGGAAUCUUAGACAAUGGGCGCAAGCCUGAUCUAGCGAUGCCGCGUGAGUGAUGAAGGCCUUAGGGUCGUAAAGCUCUUUCGCCAGGGAUGAUAAUGACAGUACCUGGUAAAGAAACCCCGGCUAACUCCGUGCCAGCAGCCGCGGUAAUACGGAGGGGGUUAGCGUUGUUCGGAAUUACUGGGCGUAAAGCGUACGUAGGCGGAUCAGAAAGUUAGGGGUGAAAUCCCAGGGCUCAACCCUGGAACUGCCUCUAAAACUCCUGGUCUUGAGUUCGAGAGAGGUGAGUGGAAUUCCAAGUGUAGAGGUGAAAUUCGUAGAUACUUGGAGGAACACCAGUGGCGAAGGCGGCUCACUGGCUCGAUACUGACGCUGAGGUACGAAAGUGUGGGGAGCAAACAGGAUUAGAUACCCUGGUAGUCCACACCGUAAACGAUGAAUGCCAGACGUCGGCAGGCAUGCCUGUCGGUGUCACACCUAACGGAUUAAGCAUUCCGCCUGGGGAGUACGGUCGCAAGAUUAAAACUCAAAUGAAUUGACGGAA
rnacentral:rRNA from 1 species